ensembl:snoRNA SNORA72 Small nucleolar RNA SNORA72
CUGCGAAUAUUCUCGCUGUUCUGAUUGUGUCAUAAUCAGGGCAGGCUAAACAUUCGCUAUAGUAAGACCAUGCAUGUGUCCCCAGACCUAGAUCUUUCCCUAGGUCUGGUUUUAUAAAUGCUGGUGAUAAAC